rnacentral:lncRNA from 12 species
ACCCAGAAGGAAGAGAUGUGCAAUGAGUGUGGUCAUUUCCUCCUCAGAUUCAGAAAUGCUUCUGACAUGGGUAACUGAGAGGUCAUUGUUUAUAAAGAGAAGGAACUUAGGGUAAAUUGCUACAAAGAAGUAAUUCUGGAUUAUUUAUGAAAUGAGAAAAAUGGACAUAUGAAAAAAGAGUAGAAGGCAAUUUAUGAAGAUUAAGAAGGUGAGUUUGGCAGAAAGCCAUUUUUUUUUUUUAAUCAGCAACUGAGGAUGAAGUUGCAGGAAGAAAAAUACAGAGUAUAGUAUAUCUCUGUACAUACUAUAUGGAUACUAUCUAGAGGAGCAGGAAUUACCAAGAAUAACAAGCAUAAUAUUGUAG